rnacentral:snRNA from 1 species
ACAAGUGAGGGAGAAUUGGCUGUGGCAUCUAUCAUUCUAUCAUAUGCCAGGCUGAUUCAGCUGAUGUGACUACAUGGCGUCUUCUUUCUUCUUCACUACUCCAGGUGCUUCUGUUCCAAAGCAGCAUGCUCAGUUGAUAUCCUUAUAUGAACUGAGUUUUCCUCGUAGAGGAAGAUGGUCAUAGGUGAAGGGCAUGCUAGCAGUUACACUCUACUGUUAAAAUCUCCAAACACUUUCAAGACACGAUCUUGUGUUUACUGCAUGUCUGUUCCUACUUCCAUGCCCUAUUUACAU